UAUUCUGCCCCACGGGGAAGGAUGAGAAGCUUCGACUAAGGUUCGACUCGAGCGAAGCGAGAGAACGUUGCCGCAGGCAACGGCCGAAGGGCGAGGAGCGAUAGCGACGAGUUAUCCUUCCCCCACCACCA
rnacentral:sRNA from 1 species